AUUGAUUAUUUUCCCAUUGCUCAGUAUAAGGUUUUUCACAGUACUAUCAGAAUUCAACUCAAUUUUCUGUAUACGAGAGUUAAGUAGGACUUGACCACCCAAUGAUUGAAUGUGGUCAACAAUUGGUAUGCACAACCUCUCGGGAGGAUUACCAUCUAAGAAAGCCAUCUUGGAGCCAUGCUUUUCCUGAAGAAAACGGUUUAAAGCAAUUAAAAUGCACUGCAUGGAAAGCUCAUCUGGAUUUAUAAAAUUAAGAGCUUUGGACAUUGCAAUGAAAACUUCGUCAUUGACACGUUCAGGAACGCCCUGCUUCCUCAUCCACUCUUUAACAGUUAAACCAUCCUGAGCCUCAACAUAGGCCUGUCCCCCAAUCAUAGCAGGUAGAAGGCCUAUGGCAAAACGCACUUUUUCUGGCCAAGUCAGCAUUUCAUUAUUCUUUAAGAUGGCCCAUAUUCCAUUUAAGGGUGCAGGAAGAACCUCUGGAAAAUCAAAGCGGCUGAAUUCUCCUGGCUUGUUUGGCAUUGCAAAAAUCAUAGAGUGCUCCUUCCACUGCAAACGAUCAUUAAUACCAAGUUCCCCAAACAAAUUCUGCACAUUGGGAUAAGCUCCAAAGAAUAUAUGGAGGCCUGUCUCAUACCAAUCUCCAUCACUAUCCUUCCAUGCAGCAAUCUUUCCACCCAAAACAUCUCUCCCCUCCAACAGUAUAGGUAUAUGUCCUGCAUCGGCAAGAUACUUUGCCGUAGAUAAACCCGCCAGACCUGCCCCGGCAAUCACAACUUGCAGCGGCUUCUCCGGCCUUGCACG
rnacentral:misc_RNA from 1 species